rnacentral:rRNA from 1 species
CGGCACCUCAAGUGGUCAGGAUGAUUAUUGGGCCUAAAGCAUCCGUAGCCGGCGCUGUAAGUUUUCGGUUAAAUCUGUACGCUCAACGUACAGGCUGCCGGGAAUACUGCAGCGCUAGGGAGUGGGAGAGGUAGACGGUACUCGGUAGGAAGGGGUAAAAUCCUUUGAUCUAUUGAUGACCACCUGUGGCGAAGGCGGUCUACCAGAACACGUCCGACGGUGAGGGAUGAAAGCUGGGGGAGCAAACCGGAUUAGAUACCCGCGUAGUCC